rnacentral:lncRNA from 1 species
GCUCAACUUCAGUUACUUGUACCUGCUCUAUGUAAUAUCUUCUUAUGGUUCACUGAAGUCCUAAAUUAUUGGGUUUUUUCCUUUUUUAUUUUUUUCUUAUAUAUAUUCACUUUUCAAUGAGAUUGAGAGUAGAUUUUUAUUGCAGGGUUUGGAAGAACUGUGGAAUAUGAUCCAUGAAGAACCCUCAAACAGAAAAAAGUGGAUUAGGGCAGUGGACGAAUCCCUGAAGGAGAUUGAAAGGAGUCGAGCUGUUAAAGAAACGUUUGGAUAAAAAAAUGGAUAGACUCUGGAAGAGCUUGCUGCACUGUCCUUGUAGGCAAAGAAAAACUGUUCCAUCAGUGCCUGUUCCUCCUCUCUUUGUAAUUCAGAUAGCAGAUGUACUGUCCAAGUAGACCUUGAAACUGGAAGAAAUUUCUUUCUUCUUGGCAGCUGAUGUUCACCAGCUCAUUAACAAUAAGGCCAUGAAUAUAAACAGAGUACUGCUGGGUAAUGAGAGGGCAACUGCCAAGCUGCUCUUUAAUGUAAUGAAAUCAGAGCUUGAGAAAGACAAAUUGCAUCAACUGAAAUGGCAAGAGAGAGUCAAGGUCUGGAAGCUCAUCCAAAAGAACUGCAUAGUUCAGAGUUUCAGAUCUUUUUUCCAUCCUGCAGAGAA